rnacentral:tRNA from 1 species
UGGUGUGUAGCUCAGUGGAUAGAGCAGCGGCCUACGAAGCCGUGUGCGCUGGUUCGAAUCCAGCCACGCCAGCAA